ACGCACCGUUAUCUGUGGCUAUAAAAGCAAACGGAGAGAGUGGGAGCGCUCAUUACGGACGUUUGAACUGACAGGAAGAGAUGAUGGAGAGCUUCACCAAGUUUGUCCUGUUGGCUUUUGUGGCUUUCGUGGUUUGGGGAAACUCACAGGCCACGACGGUGAAUUCCACCACGACAGGAAGUCCCGCCUCGACAGCUGUGACCACCAAAACCCCGGACAGCUCCACGGUCCCCUCCUCGACCAAAGACAUGAACUCCACAACCCCCGACUCCACCACAGCCAAUCAGACCACAGCUGCCAACGCCACCCUGACCACGCCCCACGGAGGGACGCCAUCUUUGAUCCAAACGUGGGGUCAGCUCGUCGCCCUGGUGCCGGCGCUGGUCCUGCUCAGCGUAUAACGAUUUCCAACAGACUGAUCUCACCGUCACUCCUUCGCACUUAAAAAGCAAAUAACGCCCUUUCAACACACGAAGCCACAUUACACUGAAGCAAAAAUGUAUUCUGCCAAUCACGUCAAAACAAGCCAGGCUUAAAUGGAACUAAAAACAGAAAAAUCUGGACUGAAACAAACUUUUUUCCACGUUUGUUUUUGGGCUGUGUUUGCAAAAGAGUGUGUAAAUCUCAUCAAUCAUAUGGACUAACAAUAAUUACUCACUUUAAUGCACACGUAAAGUAGAACUGAUGAGGCCACUUGGUUGAGAGGUGAAACUGAAAAGUCGACUCUUUGAAACCAGCGGGCUAAAUGUUCUGCUAAACUGACUUUCUGUCUCUUUUAACCGUGUUCAAAUGUUGUUCCGUUCACGCGUGUUUGAGCCAGGGAGGUCUCCAAGAUGAUUUCAUGUCUUUUUUUUCUUUUUUUUAGUUUUAAACGUGUUAAAAUACAUGAUCUAAACUUGAUUUGAAAUGUUUGUUGCCAUAAGUAAUAGGCAAUAACUAUUCACUGUGGGGGUCCAGGGGUUUGAGUAAUUCUGCACACUCGGUCUGUCUCAAAACACACUGGUCCUGUGAAAAACAGGAGUUGUUUCCAUAGUGCAAGUGCAUCACAGUGUUCAACCACUGCUGUUCAGCCUUAUUUAAAGUGCAUAUGACACACCAGACACAGUUACUGCUAAAACAUAGUGAACACAAUUGUAUUUAAUAUUUUACUAAAAAACGUACCCAGCUUUCUCUAGUUUGACCAUGUUUGUGAUGUUCAUAGUUUCACUUCCUUUUUAGUUGUUAAGUGGUGAUGUCAUUGCUCCACAGCCGGGUCCAAUUCUCUAUAAUGGGAUGGUUCAGACCUCUGUUUAGAUCAGAAAUAUCACUUUUAUUUUGGUAAUGCUUUAAUUAUAGUAUCAAAUAUUUCCACACACAAUGAAGUCUUAUUUCAAAUAUAACAUGUUUUCAUUUUUCCUGGAGAAAUUGUGAGAUAUAUUAUUGAUUGAUUGAUUAGAUUUAUUUGAGUGAUUUUUACAACAACAUUAUUACAGUGCAGAAAACAAACAAAGCAACAAAAAAACUCAAAAGGAGUAUAGGCCGAAGCAAGAAAGCUUAUAAGUGCCUAACCACAUAUUCAAGAUUAAUUUACAUUCCGGAUAGAGUGAUACAUCAUCUCAUGUUUACAUACAAUAUAACACGUUACAUUACAAAUUCCUGAAUUACUUAUUUUUAUUUACAAUUUGUACUUUUUUCUUUUCUUAUUCCUCAUUCCGUUCACAUAAUAACCAUAUCCAAUCAUUACUUAUAAACACCAGUCACCAUUCUAUUAAUUGACUAUUAAUUUAGUUAUAAUAAGUAUUACAUAGUCAACACGACCCAUUAUUAUUGUCAUUCCCAUUUCCACUGUAAAAAUAUUGGUUGUGAUUGUUUUAUUAUUUUUGUUGUUUGCCUUGUUUAGUGAGGUGCCUUAAAAAGCCAGGGGGUAAUGUGGCCAGUAGGUAGAGGGCAGUAGCCCCCACCAGCAAGCCCUCACCCUGCUGCCCUAACUAGCUGUUGUUGUGAGGCAGUUCUGAGCCCUAUACUGGAGAUUCAGAUAAAGUUGCCGUUUGUUUGGACCCGGAAGUAGCUUAUUAUUGUGUGUGUGAUGUCACACUUAACAAACGUAUUGGACGCUGACAGGAAGUGACUUAGAUAGAGGCAAACGAUUUUAAUCUGUUGCCGUGCCAACCGUGUUAUGUUACUUGGAAAUGAGUCAAACUGUUAUGGAACUUUACCUCUAUCUAUGUCACUUCCUAAGAUUCCAAUAGAAAUCACUUUUCUGCCCAUUCAUUUGCUGCUUCACUGAACAAUAAACAAUAAUUACUACUUACAGCUGUUAUCCAUCUAAAUAAGUCUGUCAUGUGCACUUUAAGGUUUAAUUCUCCUGUUUUGUUGGUUGAGCAUAAAUGGGACACUUUAUGAAGGAACCUCCAUUCUGUAUAAUACAUUCCUUUAAUUGACCUACAAAUGUCAUUGCAAUAAUACUGUAAAUAUUUUGUCAGAAAUGUUUCAUCUUUAUACUUGAAAUAACUAUUUUAUAAUAACAUGUCGCAUAAAUGUAUUAAUUGGAUUUCACACAGAGCACAACUUUUAUUUAAUUUCUUAAGCUUCAAAUGGUUUUCUCGCACUUUACUCAAUGACUGUCGAGCAACACUGAACUGUAAGAGUGAAUGUUGGGAAAUGUUGCGUUGUAAUUUGCACAAAACGAUAAAUAAAAGAUCCGGACACUGCUUUCAUUGGCUCAUUUGUUUAUUCCACUCCUCAUAGCCUCGACGUCUCCCCGGCUUCAUGGAUCAUUGCUCCUUCAGUCGUUCAAUGCAAAGGUGCAAUAUUAAGUCUCACGAGGGACGGGGACUUUUAUUGCACGUUUCUCAAAGUGCCACACUGUCGUCAGUCCUUAAAGGGAUAAUUCAGGAUUUUUGACAUAGGGCCUAUUCCUAGCUAUCCAGGGUGUUAUUUUUUAUUCAUGCAGUUCUUAUAUUUGAAGAGUCUAAUGGCGCUAGGCUAGUCUUAGGCUAGCGCAUUUCUACAGUAACAGCUAGCCUGCAUUAAAAC
rnacentral:lncRNA from 1 species